rnacentral:lncRNA from 1 species
UUUUUUUUUUUUUUUUUUUUGAGACAAAGUCUCACUAUGUAGUCCAGGACGGCCUCAAACUGAUGGUGAUCCUCCUGCCUCAGCCUCGAGUCCUGGGAUUACAGGAAUGCACCACUCCACCUGGCUUACUGUUAUAACUUUAAGCCUGGGCAUAGAAAGUAAUUCUCAACAUUACUUGUCAUCAGUGAAGUGCAAAUAAAGAUGACAAGAAGCCUGAAGAUAAUCACCUAACUAACCCAGUGAACAUUUUUACUGGUAAGACUAUGAAUAAAGAACUCACUCCGAC